UACUCCUGACUGACCGAUAGUGAACCAGUACCGUGAGGGAAAGGCGAAAAGAACCCCUGUGAGGGGAGUGAAAUAGAACCUGAAACCGUGUACGUACAAGCAGUAGGAGCACCUUCGUGGUGUGACUGCGUACCUUUUGUAUAAUGGGUCAGCGACUUAUAUUCAGUGGCAAGGUUAACCGUAUAGGGGAGCCGUAGCGAAAGCGAGUCUUAACUGGGCGCUCAGUCUCUGGAUAUAGACCCGAAACCGGGUGAUCUAGCCAUGGGCAGGUUGAAGGUUGAGUAACAUCAACUGGAGGACCGAACCGACUAAUGUUGAAAAAUUAGCGGAUGACUUGUGGCUAGGGGUGAAAGGCCAAUCAAACUCGGAGAUAGCUGGUUCUCCCCGAAAGCUAUUUAGGUAGCGCCUCGGACGAAUACUACUGGGGGUAGAGCACUGUUAAGGCUAGGGGGUCAUCCCGACUUACCAACCCUUUGCAAACUCCGAAUACCAGUAAGUACUAUCCGGGAGACACACGGCGGGUGCUAACGUCCGUCGUGGAGAGGGAAACAACCCAGACCGCCAGCUAAGGUCCCAAAGUAUUGCUAAGUGGGAAACGAUGUGGGAAGGCUCAGACAGCUAGGAUGUUGGCUUAGAAGCAGCCAUCAUUUAAAGAAAGCGUAAUAGCUCACUAGUCGAGUCGGCCUGCGCGGAAGAUGUAACGGGGCUAAGCAAUACACCGAAGCUGCGGCAAUGUCUUUUAGACAUUGGGUAGGGGAGCGUUCUGUAAGCCGUUGAAGGUGAAUCGUAAGGUUUGCUGGAGGUAUCAGAAGUGCGAAUGCUGACAUGAGUAACGACAAAGGGGGUGAAAAACCUCCUCGCCGGAAGACCAAGGGUUCCUGUCCAACGUUAAUCGGGGCAGGGUGAGUCGACCCCUAAGGUGAGGCCGAAAGGCGUAAUCGAUGGGAAACGGGUUAAUAUUCCCGUACUUCUGACUAUUGCGAUGGGGGGACGGAGAAGGCUAGGUGGGCCAGGCGACGGUUGUCCUGGUUCAAGUGCGUAGGCUUGAGAGUUAGGUAAAUCCGGCUCUCUCUAAGGCUGAGACACGACGUCGAGCUACUACGGUAGUGAAGUCAUUGAUGCCAUGCUUCCAGGAAAAGCCUCUAAGCUUCAGAUAGUCAGGAAUCGUACCCCAAACCGACACAGGUGGUCGGGUAGAGAAUACCAAGGCGCUUGAGAGAACUCGGGUGAAGGAACUAGGCAAAAUGGUACCGUAACUUCGGGAGAAGGUACGCUCUUGAUGGUGAAGUCCCUCGCGGAUGGAGCUGACGAGAGUCGCAGAUACCAGGUGGCUGCAACUGUUUAUUAAAAACACAGCACUGUGCAAAAUCGCAAGAUGACGUAUACGGUGUGACGCCUGCCCGGUGCCGGAAGGUUAAUUGAUGGGGUUAGCGCAAGCGAAGCUCUUGAUCGAAGCCCCGGUAAACGGCGGCCGUAACUAUAACGGUCCUAAGGUAGCGAAAUUCCUUGUCGGGUAAGUUCCGACCUGCACGAAUGGCGUAAUGAUGGCCACGCUGUCUCCACCCGAGACUCAGUGAAAUUGAAAUCGCUGUGAAGAUGCAGUGUACCCGCGGCUAGACGGAAAGACCCCGUGAACCUUUACUACAGCUUGGCACUGAACAUUGAACCUACAUGUGUAGGAUAGGUGGGAGGCUAUGAAGACGUGACGCCAGUUGCGUUGGAGCCGUCCUUGAAAUACCACCCUUGUAUGUUUGAUGUUCUAACUUAGACCCAUUAUCUGGGUUGAGGACAGUGCCUGGUGGGUAGUUUGACUGGGGCGGUCUCCUCCCAAAGAGUAACGGAGGAGCACGAAGGUGGGCUAAUCACGGUUGGACAUCGUGAGGUUAGUGCAAUGGCAUAAGCCCGCUUAACUGCGAGAAUGACGGUUCGAGCAGGUGCGAAAGCAGGUCAUAGUGAUCCGGUGGUUCUGUAUGGAAGGGCCAUCGCUCAACGGAUAAAAGGUACUCCGGGGAUAACAGGCUGAUACCGCCCAAGAGUUCAUAUCGACGGCGGUGUUUGGCACCUCGAUGUCGGCUCAUCACAUCCUGGGGCUGAAGUCGGUCCCAAGGGUAUGGCUGUUCGCCAUUUAAAGUGGUACGCGAGCUGGGUUUAGAACGUCGUGAGACAGUUCGGUCCCUAUCUGCCGUGGGCGUUGGAAGAUUGAAGGGGGCUGCUCCUAGUACGAGAGGACCGGAGUGGACGAACCUCUGGUGUUCGGGUUGUGUCGCCAGACGCAUUGCCCGGUAGCUAAGUUCGGAAUUGAUAAGCGCUGAAAGCAUCUAAGCGCGAAGCGAGCCCUGAGAUGAGUCUUCCC
rnacentral:rRNA from 1 species